rnacentral:rRNA from 1 species
UACGGGGGGGGCAAGCGUUGUUCGGAAUUACUGGGCGUAAAGGGUGCGCAGGCGGUGCGCUAAGUCGGAUGUGAAAACUCUGGGCUCAACCCAGAGCCUGCAUCCGAAACUGGCGCGCUAGAGUUCUGGAGGGGGUAGCGGAAUUCCUGGUGUAGCGGUGAAAUGCGUAGAUAUCAGGAGGAACACCGGUGGCGAAGGCGGCUACCUGGACAGAAACUGACGCUCAUGCACGAAAGCUAGGGGAGCAAACAGG